rnacentral:rRNA from 1 species
ACAUCCAGAGAACUUAGCAGAGAUGCUUUGGUGCCUUCGGGAACUCUGAGACAGGUGCUGCAUGGCUGUCGUCAGCUCGUGUUGUGAAAUGUUGGGUUAAGUCCCGCAACGAGCGCAACCCUUAUCCUUUGUUGCCAGCGGCUCGGCCGGGAACUCAAAGGAGACUGCCGGUGAUAAACCGGAGGAAGGUGGGGACGACGUCAAGUCAUCAUGGCCCUUACGGCCAGGGCUACACACGUGCUACAAUGGCGCAUACAAAGAGAAGCGACCUCGCGAGAGCAAGCGGACCUCAUAAAGUGCGUCGUAGUCCGGAUUGGAGUCUGCAACUCGACUCCAUGAAGUCGGAAUCGCUAGUAAUCGUAGAUCAGAAUGCUACGGUGAAUACGUUCCCGGGCCUUGUACACACCGCCCGUCACACCAUGGGAGUGGGUUGCAAAAGAAGUAGGUAGCUUAACCUUCGGGAGGGCGCUUACCACUUUGUGAUUCAUGACUGGGGUGAAGUCGUAACAAGGUAGGCGUAGCGAG